rnacentral:rRNA from 1 species
CCUACGGGUGGCUGCAGUGGGGAAUUUUGGACAAUGGGGGCAACCCUGAUCCAGCCAUUCCGCGUGAGUGAAGAAGGCCUUCGGGUUGUAAAGCUCUUUUGUCCGGAGCGAAACGGGCGGCCCUAAUACGGUCGUCUACUGACGGUACCGGAAGAAUAAGCACCGGCUAACUACGUGCCAGCAGCCGCGGUAAUACGUAGGGUGCGAGCGUGAAUCGGGAUUACUGGGGCGGGAGCGUACGCAGGAGGUUAAAUCCCCGGGCUCAACCUGGGAAUGGCAUUUGUGACUGCAAGGCUGGAGUGUGGCAGAGGGGACUAGAAUUCCUGGUGUAGCAGUGAAAUGCGUAGAUAUCAGGAGGAAUACCGAUGGCGAAGGCAGGUCCCUGGGUUAACACUGACGCUCAAGCACGAAAGCGUGGGGAGCAAACAGGAUUAGAUACCCUAGUAGUC